rnacentral:rRNA from 1 species
GAGCGGCGAACGGGUGAGUAACACGUGGGUGAUCUGCCUCGCACUCUGGGAUAAGCCUGGGAAACUGGGUCUAAUACCGGAUAUGACUUUCGGAUGCAUGUUCGAGGGUGGAAAGAUUUAUCGGUGCGAGAUGGGCCCGCGGCCUAUCAGCUUGUUGGUGGGGUAACGGCCCACCAAGGCGACGACGGGUAGCCGACCUGAGAGGGUGACCGGCCACACUGGGACUGAGACACGGCCCAGACUCCUACGGGAGGCAGCAGUGGGGAAUAUUGCACAAUGGGCGAAAGCCUGAUGCAGCGACGCCGCGUGGGGGAUGACGGCCUUCGGGUUGUAAACCCCUUUUGACAGGGACGAAGCGCAAGUGACGGUACCUGUAGAAGAAGCACCGGCCAACUACGUGCCAGCAGCCGCGGUAAUACGUAGGGUGCGAGCGUUGUCCGGAAUUACUGGGCGUAAAGAGCUUGUAGGCGGUCUGUCACGUCUUCUGUGAAAACUUGGGGCUCAACCUUAAGCUUGCAGGGGAUACGGGCAGACUAGAGUACUUCAGGGGAGACUGGAAUUCCU